rnacentral:lncRNA from 1 species
AUGAACUUGAUUUUGUACGCUGAGGUGACACAGAACCCAGAACAAUGCCUGGAACAUAAUAGGCACUUAUGGGAAUUCUUAUGUUCCGCAUGUCAAGCAAUUGUCUUGGCUCAUCCUACAGAGGCCUUCACAUUCAGGUUUUCACAUUCACAGUGUUACAUGAUGCUGCUCGCCAUUUGUGUGUCACUCUACAAAGAAGCUCAUUGUAAAUAGAGACAGUCCCUGCUGACCCCCUGUAAGAGUUUUCUCUCCUACAACAUUGAACACAGAAAGCUAAGGGACUUAUUUUAAUUUUCAAAAAUAUAAUAUUAAAAUAACCCUUGGGUUGCAAAGUUGAAUUUUUAUUCCUUGUUAAAUUCUUUGAAGAGCAAAGUAUUUAAAAAACAUAUGACAAUAA